rnacentral:rRNA from 1 species
UUCCGGUUGAUCCUGCCGGAGGCUACCGCUAUUGGAGUUCGAUUAAGCCAUGCGAGUCGCGAGUCUUAGGGACUCGGCGUACCGCUCAGUAACACGUGGGUAACCUGCCCUAUGCUGGGGGAUAACCUCGGGAAACUGAGAAUAAUACCCCAUAGUUCACCACGCCUGGAACGGUGGGUGGAUCAAAGCCCCGGCGGCAUAGGAUGGGCCUGCGGCGUAUCAGGUUGUAGGGGGUGUAAUGUACCCUCUAGCCCUCUACGCGUACGGGUGUUGAGAGACAUAGCCCGGAGAUGGAUUCUGAGACACGAAUCCAGACCCUACGGGGUGCAGCAGGCGCGAAAACUUGGCAAUGCGAGAAAUCGUGACCAGGGAACUCCAAGUGCAUCGGGUAAGACCGAUGCUUUUCUUGACUCUUCAAAGGUCUUGGAAUAAGGGGUGGGUAAGGACGGUGCCAGCCGCCGCGGUAAUACCGGCGCCCCAAGUGAUAGUCGCUUUUAUUGGGCCUAAAACGUCCGUAGCCGGUCUGGUACAUUCGUGGGUAAAUCAACCAGCUCAACUGGUUGAAUUCUGCGAGCACGGCCAGACUUGGGACCGGGAGAGGUGUGGGGUACUCUCAGGGUAGGGGUAAAAUCCUGUCAUCCUGAGAGGACCACCUGUUGCGAAGGCGCCACACUAGAACGGAUCCGACGGUCAGGGACGAAGCCUAGGGGCACGAACCGGAUUAGAUACCCGGGUAGUCCUAGGUGUAAACGCUGUGGACUUGAUGUUGGGAGCGCUCCGAGCGCCCUCAGUGUCGAAGCGAAGGUGAUAAGUCCACUGCCUGGGGAGUACGGUCGCAAGGCUGAAACUUAAAGGAAUUGGCGGGGGAGCACCGCAACCUGAGGAUUGUGCGGUUUAAUUGGAUUCAACGCCGGGA